rnacentral:rRNA from 1 species
CUCUAAUCAGGAUCCUGAGUACGGCCCAGCACGUGAAAUUGGGUCGGAAUCUGGGAGGACCAUCUCCCAAGGCUAAAUACUAACUAGUGACCGAUAGCGAACAAGUACCGUGAGGGAAAGGUGAAAAGAACCCCGGAAGGGGAGUGAAAUAGUUCUUGAAACCGUGUGCUUACAAGAAGUUCGAGGCCGUUAAUGGCUGAGAGCGUGCUUUUUGUAGAAUGAACCGGAGAGUUACGAUUGCGUGCAAGGUUAAGGUGCAAAGACUGGAGCCGUAGCGAAAGCGAGUCUUAAUAGGGCGAAUCAGUACGUAGUUGUAGACCCGAAACCGAGUGACCUAUCCAUGGUCAGGUUGAAGGUGGGGUAAUACCUACUGGAGGACCGAACAAGUGGGUGUUAAAAAACCCUUUGAUGAACUGUGGAUAGCGGUGAAAUUCCAAUCGAACUCGGAGAUAGCUGGUUCUAUCCGAAAUACAUUUAGGUGUAGCCUUGCAAUUAGCUUACUGGAGGUAGAGCACUAUUUGGUCUAGGGGCCCUUCAAGGGUUACCAAAAUCAGAUAAACUCCGAAUGCCAGCUAAGUAUGUGCAGGAGUCAGACGGUGAGUGAUAAGAUCCAUCGUCAAAAGGGGAACAGCCCAGAUCACCAGUUAAGGUCCCUAAAUAUAUGCUAAGUGGAAAACGUUGUGAAGGUGCAUAGACAACUAGGAGGUUGGCUCAGAAGCAGCCACCCUUUAAAGAGUGCGUAAUAGCUCACUAGUCAAGUGCUCUUGCGCGGAUAAUGUACCGGGGCUAAGCAUAUUACCGAAACUGUGGAUGCGUAAGCAUGGUAGGAUAGCGUAAUUAACGCGAUGAAGGAUGACCGUAAGGACAUGUUGGAGCGUUAACUAGUGAGAAUUCCGGUAUGAGUAGCGAAAGAUAGGUGAGAAUCCUAUCCACCGAAUGAGUAAGGUUUCCCCCGGAAGGCUCGUCCGCGGGGGGUUAGUCGGGACCUAAGGCGAGGCUGAAAAGCGUAGUCGAUGGACAACAGGUUGAUAUUCCUGUACCGAUAUUUAAUUGCCGAAGGAAGGACGCAGAAGGAUAACACAGGCCACUAUUGGAUGUGGUUUUAAACAGUUAGUCUUCAUAAGAGUCAAAUGCUUUUAUGU